rnacentral:tRNA from 1 species
GGGAGUGGCGGAAUUGGCAGACGCGCUGGAUUCAGGUUCCAGUGGGGCAACCCGCUGGGGGUUCGACUCCCCCCUCCC